rnacentral:rRNA from 1 species
UACGUAGGGUGCGAGCGUUAAUCGGAUUUACUGGGCGUAAAGCGUGCGCAGGCGGCCCUGUAAGACCGGUGUGAAAUCCCCGGGCUCAACCUGGGAAUUGCGCUGGUGACUGCAGGGCUAGAGUACGGUAGAGGGGGGUGGAAUUCCUGGUGUAGCAGUGAAAUGCGUAGAGAUCAGGAGGAACACCGAUGGCGAAGGCAGCCCCCUGGGCCUGUACUGACGCUCAUGCACGAAAGCGUGGGGAGCAAACAGG